rnacentral:lncRNA from 1 species
CCUGUCUCAAAGUAAAAUAUAAAAAUGGGCUUUAAUGGUAAAGUGUGCCUGGGUUCAAUCCCCAGUACAAAAAAAAAAAAGAAAGAAAAGAAAAGAAAAAAGGAAAAAUUAAACAAUACUAUUAUCCCAGCAACUCAGGAAGCUGAGGCAAGAGGAUUGCAAGUUCAAGGAUAGUCUCAUAAACUUAGCUAGACCCUGUCUCACAAUUUAAAAAUACAAAACAUCUGGGAUAAAGCUCAGUGGUAAAGUACCACUAGGUUCAAUCCUCAGUAUUCCCCUGCAAAGUGAGGAAUAUCAUUCAAGUUUUUGGAUAUAAUUUGGAACUUGGGACAAACUUUGGAACUUAGUAAGGCAGAUUUGCUUGUUGAGGGCAUUCAUCGUAAGGGUUGUAAGGGUUGGUCAUAUGCUGAGGAGAAUGGACAGAUAUGCAGGUGUCUCCUUGAGAAAUGAGAUGAAUUGUUCCAGACUGUUCACUGUAGAGGAGGCACAUGUUUGUGAAUGGUAUCUGAUUUAUUUGUUGGCCUCUGGUCACUAGUGUCCAGUUGUAGCUCUACCUUGGAACCCACACAGCUAUAGUCCUAGUAGUUCCCAGCAGCAGUGAGCAGAGAUAGGAGGUGUGGCUGACCAAGGCCAGAUAGCCAUGUGGCGAUUUAAAAGGGGAGCACUGUAGGACACCAGGAAAAGCCUCCUUAGUUCUUCUUCAGUUUGGUUAGGGGGAGAAGAAAAACAACUCUUUUCUGAGUUUAUGCAAAACAAUCAUGUUUUAUUCAUCAUUUGGAGAAGUCACCCUUAUGGCAUGUGGGGUGGGUGAUGUCAGCUUUUCCAUCUUAGCUGGAGCAAAUGUUCCCGAGCCCUUAUGCUCUGUUCUAGGCUGGGGAAACUCAGUCGAAGAAGACAUUGUUCCUAUCCCAGGGUAUCAGGAAAGCAGAAGUCUAUGGCCUGGCGAGAGGGGAGCUGUGAAAUAGGGCGGCAUGGGGGACACAGGCACAGGACUCCCCAGGGAGCUGGUUUUGUGCUCUAGCUGAAUUUCCUGUGUGGAUCUGUGUCCACCAGGAAGACCUCCAGUGUGGAAGGAUACUUGAGUAGGGUAUCAGCCUUCUAUGAUGGUCAUAACUUGGGGUUUUGCUGACCUUGAUGUUGCUCCUUUGUGGUAUGAAGAGAUCUGGUCCUGGGUCACCUGCAACCUGGCCGUGGUUGCUUAACCUUCUGCAGGUGUAUGUAGCUCAUGGUAGGUCUGUUUUCC